UUUAAAUUUUUUCAGUUCAAAUUUAAAUUCAAAUAACAAAUAAAUAAUUUGUUAAAACUAUAACUAUAGUUCUCGACACAACCUCGUGCAAACUGUCCAUGCACAUAUAGACACGGUACGACUGUCUAAAUCGGAAUCACCGGAAAUAAAGUCACUGACACACUGGCGGAAUUAAGGCGUGAAUAACGUAAAAUGUGGAACGAGAAAAGUCCGGCCAACAUCAAGGACAACACAGGAAGAAAAAUAUGAAGAUGGACAUGAAAAUGGAAUAAUGAAAACAUGAAGAUGAUGAUGAAUGACAAAUGGGACGGAAUGUAAGGAAAGGAAUGCGUAAUCCUCGGUCUGGCUCGCGGUCGCGGCUGUAGUGUGUACAGGAGGAACGUCUGGCUGAGCAACUGGCGGACACGAAGGAAUUUCAGAUGACCCGAACUUGAAAGGCAAAGUGGAUGGCAAGGUCUCAGACGACACAACGGAUGGUGUAACAUCGUAUGAAGGCAGCAAUGGAGCAAAGAUGGAUGGCUGAACUGAUGAAAUGAUAGCGGAUGAUGAUGUGGUGGAUGGCAGACAGGAUGAACUGAUGGUAGAGGAACUUGCGGAAGAAGCAGAUGAGGUCGCAGGUGCCUGUGGCGGAGCAGAUGCCAGGGUGCUGGUGGUCGGUGCAACUGGGAGACGAGAAACAAAUUUCAGACUAC